UGGCUCAGGACGAACGCUGGCGGCGUGCCUAAUACAUGCAAGUCGAGCGGACAGAUGGGAGCUUGCUCCCUGAUGUUAGCGGCGGACGGGUGAGUAACACGUGGGUAACCUGCCUGUAAGACUGGGAUAACUCCGGGAAACCGGGGCUAAUACCGGAUGCUUGUUUGAACCGCAUGGUUCAAACAUAAAAGGUGGCUUCGGCUACCACUUACAGAUGGACCCGCGGCGCAUUAGCUAGUUGGUGAGGUAAUGGCUCACCAAGGCAACGAUGCGUAGCCGACCUGAGAGGGUGAUCGGCCACACUGGGACUGAGACACGGCCCAGACUCCUACGGGAGGCAGCAGUAGGGAAUCUUCCGCAAUGGACGAAAGUCUGACGGAGCAACGCCGCGUGAGUGAUGAAGGUUUUCGGAUCGUAAAGCUCUGUUGUUAGGGAAGAACAAGUACCGUUCGAAUAGGGCGGUACCUUGACGGUACCUAACCAGAAAGCCACGGCUAACUACGUGCCAGCAGCCGCGGUAAUACGUAGGUGGCAAGCGUUGUCCGGAAUUAUUGGGCGUAAAGGGCUCGCAGGCGGUUUCUUAAGUCUGAUGUGAAAGCCCCCGGCUCAACCGGGGAGGGUCAUUGGAAACUGGGGAACUUGAGUGCAGAAGAGGAGAGUGGAAUUCCACGUGUAGCGGUGAAAUGCGUAGAGAUGUGGAGGAACACCAGUGGCGAAGGCGACUCUCUGGUCUGUAACUGACGCUGAGGAGCGAAAGCGUGGGGAGCGAACAGGAUUAGAUACCCUGGUAGUCCACGCCGUAAACGAUGAGUGCUAAGUGUUAGGGGGUUUCCGCCCCUUAGUGCUGCAGCUAACGCAUUAAGCACUCCGCCUGGGGAGUACGGUCGCAAGACUGAAACUCAAAGGAAUUGACGGGGGCCCGCACAAGCGGUGGAGCAUGUGGUUUAAUUCGAAGCAACGCGAAGAACCUUACCAGGUCUUGACAUCCUCUGACAAUCCUAGAGAUAGGACGUCCCCUUCGGGGGCAGAGUGACAGGUGGUGCAUGGUUGUCGUCAGCUCGUGUCGUGAGAUGUUGGGUUAAGUCCCGCAACGAGCGCAACCCUUGAUCUUAGUUGCCAGCAUUCAGUUGGGCACUCUAAGGUGACUGCCGGUGACAAACCGGAGGAAGGUGGGGAUGACGUCAAAUCAUCAUGCCCCUUAUGACCUGGGCUACACACGUGCUACAAUGGACAGAACAAAGGGCAGCGAAACCGCGAGGUUAAGCCAAUCCCACAAAUCUGUUCUCAGUUCGGAUCGCAGUCUGCAACUCGACUGCGUGAAGCUGGAAUCGCUAG
rnacentral:rRNA from 1 species